rnacentral:rRNA from 1 species
GGCCGGGGGGGCGUGACUAUAAUGCAGUCGAGCGGACGGAUGGGAGCUUGCUCCCUGAAGUCAGCGGCGGACGGGUGAGUAACACGUGGGCAACCUGCCUGUAAGACUGGGAUAACUCCGGGAAACCGGGGCUAAUACCGGAUAACUCUUUUCCUCACAUGAGGAAAAGCUGAAAGAUGGUUUCGGCUAUCACUUACAGAUGGGCCCGCGGCGCAUUAGCUAGUUGGUGAGGUAACGGCUCACCAAGGCCACGAUGCGUAGCCGACCUGAGAGGGUGAUCGGCCACACUGGGACUGAGACACGGCCCAGACUCCUACGGGAGGCAGCAGUAGGGAAUCUUCCGCAAUGGACGAAAGUCUGACGGAGCAACGCCGCGUGAGUGAUGAAGGUUUUCGGAUCGUAAAACUCUGUUGUCAGGGAAGAACAAGUACCGGAGUAACUGCCGGUACCUUGACGGUACCUGACCAGAAAGCCACGGCUAACUACGUGCCAGCAGCCGCGGUAAU